rfam:Gynuella sunshinyii YC6258, complete genome.
GGUCAAGCAAUUAAGCGUAUACGGUGGAUGCCUAGGCAGCCAGAGGCGAAGAAGGACGUGGUAACCUGCGAAAAGGUUCGGUGAGGUGGUAAACGACCUGUGACCCGGACAUAUCCGAAUGGGGCAACCCACCCGAUUUAUCGGGUAUCGUGCACUGAAUACAUAGGUGUACGAGGCGAACCGGGAGAACUGAAACAUCUAAGUACCCCGAGGAAAAGACAUCAAAUGAGAUUCCCCAAGUAGUGGCGAGCGAACGGGGAUUAGCCCUGAAGUGUAAGACUGGGUAGAAGAAUCCACUGGAAAGUGGAGCCAUAGAGGGUGAUAGCCCCGUAUUUGAAAUCCUGAUUACAUGAGCACGAGUAGGACGGGACACGAGAAAUCCUGUUUGAAGAAGGGGGGACCAUCCUCCAAGGCUAAAUACUCCUGGCUGACCGAUAGUGAACCAGUACCGUGAGGGAAAGGCGAAAAGAACCCCAGUGAGGGGAGUGAAAUAGAUCCUGAAACCGUAUACGUACAAGCAGUGGGAGCAUUCUUCGGAAUGUGACUGCGUACCUUUUGUAUAAUGGGUCAGCGACUUACAUUCAGUGGCAAGCUUAACCGAGUAGGGGAGGCGUAGGGAAACCGAGUCUUAAUAGGGCGUUGAGUCGCUGGGUGUAGACCCGAAACCGAGUGAUCUAUCCAUGGGCAGGUUGAAGGUUGAGUAACAUCAACUGGAGGACCGAACCCACAUCCGUUGAAAAGGCUGGGGAUGACCUGUGGAUAGGAGUGAAAGGCUAAUCAAACUCGGAGAUAGCUGGUUCUCCUCGAAAGCUAUUUAGGUAGCGCCUCGGACGAAUACCACUGGGGGUAGAGCACUGUUUCGGCUAGGGGGUCAUCCCGACUUACCAACCCGAUGCAAACUCCGAAUACCAGUGAGUACUAUCCGGGAGACACACGGCGGGUGCUAACGUCCGUCGUGAAAAGGGAAACAACCCAGACCGCCAGCUAAGGUCCCCAAGUGCCAGUUAAGUGGGAAACGAUGUGGGAAGGCUUAGACAGCUAGGAGGUUGGCUUAGAAGCAGCCACCCUUUAAAGAAAGCGUAAUAGCUCACUAGUCGAGUCGGCCUGCGCGGAAGAUAUAACGGGGCUCAAACUGGCCACCGAAGCUGCGGGAUUACAGUAAUGUAAUCGGUAGAGGAGCGUUCUGUAAGCGGUUGAAGGUACAUCGAGAGGUGUGCUGGACGUAUCAGAAGUGCGAAUGCUGACAUGAGUAACGAUAAUGCAGGUGAAAAACCUGCACGCCGAAAGACCAAGGGUUCCUGUCCAACGUUAAUCGGGGCAGGGUGAGUCGGCCCCUAAGGCGAGACCGCAAGGUGUAGUCGAUGGGAAACGGGUUAAUAUUCCCGUACUUAAUAUGACUGCGAUGGAGUGACGGAGAAGGCUAGGCCAGCCUGGUGAUGGUUAUCCAGGUUUAAGGGUGUAGGUUAGGGGAUUAGGCAAAUCCGGUUCCCUCUCUUAAGUGAGAAGACUGAGACCUGAAUACGGUGGGACUAUGGUCCCCGAAGUGGUUAAUGCCCGGCUUCCAAGAAAAGCUUCUAAGCGUCAGGUCAUAUUGAACCGUACCCGAAACCGACACAGGUGGUCGGGUAGAGAAUACCAAGGCGCUUGAGAGAACUCGGGUGAAGGAACUAGGCAAAAUGGUACCGUAACUUCGGGAGAAGGUACGCUCUUGCCGGUGAAGGGGCUUGCCCCCGGAGCUAGCGAGAGUCGAAGAUACCAGUUGGCUGCAACUGUUUAUUAAAAACACAGCACUCUGCAAACACGAAAGUGGACGUAUAGGGUGUGACGCCUGCCCGGUGCCGGAAGGUUAAUUGAUGGGGUUAGCGCAAGCGAAGCUCUUGAUCGAAGCCCCGGUAAACGGCGGCCGUAACUAUAACGGUCCUAAGGUAGCGAAAUUCCUUGUCGGGUAAGUUCCGACCUGCACGAAUGGCGUAAUGAUGGCCAAGCUGUCUCCACCCGAGACUCAGUGAAAUUGAAAUCGCUGUUAAGAUGCAGUGUAUCCGCGGCUAGACGGAAAGACCCCGUGAACCUUUACUAUAGCUUCACACUGGACUUUGAUGUGACUUGUGUAGGAUAGCUGGGAGGCUUUGAAGUUAGGACGCCAGUUCUAAUGGAGCCGACCUUGAAAUACCAGCCUGGUCACCUUGAGGUUCUAACGUUGGUCCCUAAGCGGGAUUACGGACCGUGUGUGGUGGGUAGUUUGACUGGGGCGGUCUCCUCCCAAAGAGUAACGGAGGAGCACGAAGGUGUGCUAAUCAUGGUCGGAAAUCAUGAGGAUAGCGUAAAGGUAUAAGCACGCUUGACUGCGAGACGGACAUGUCGAGCAGGUACGAAAGUAGGUCUUAGUGAUCCGGUGGUUCUGUAUGGAAGGGCCAUCGCUCAACGGAUAAAAGGUACUCCGGGGAUAACAGGCUGAUACCGCCCAAGAGUUCACAUCGACGGCGGUGUUUGGCACCUCGAUGUCGGCUCAUCACAUCCUGGGGCUGAAGCCGGUCCCAAGGGUAUGGCUGUUCGCCAUUUAAAGUGGUACGCGAGCUGGGUUUAGAACGUCGUGAGACAGUUCGGUCCCUAUCUGCCGUGGACGAAUGAGACUUGAGAAGAGCUGCUCCUAGUACGAGAGGACCGGAGUGGACGAACCUCUGGUGUCCCGGUUGUCACGCCAGUGGCAUUGCCGGGUAGCUAAGUUCGGACAGGAUAACCGCUGAAAGCAUCUAAGCGGGAAGCCCCCUUCAAGAUGAGGUCUCACUGAUCCCUAGAGGAUCCUGAAGGGCCCUUAAAGACUAUGAGGUUGAUAGGCUGGGUGUGUAAGCGUUGUGAGGCGUUGAGCUAACCAGUACUAAUUGCCCGUGAGGCUUGACCAU